GUUACAAAGUUGACUUGUAGACGAGCUGGCUGGAAAGCCAGGCCAUAGAGGGUGAUAGCCCCGUAGUCGAAAUGAGUCAGCCUCCGCCGGAAAUCUCGAGUAGCGCCUGUCCCGUGGAACCAGGCGUGAAUCAGCGCGGCCCACCGCGCAAGGCUAAGUACUACUUGGUGACCGAUAGUGAAGAGUAGCGCGAGCGAAAGGUGAAAAGAAC
rnacentral:rRNA from 12 species